CUCAUCUAUCUGGACAAGAGGACUCACUGCCUUGGAAUUAAAUCUGGGAAACGCUUUUGGAAAAAAACAUGAGGAUGUGUUGGAUGAGGAUAGUGUUGUCCCUCUGGCCUGGCAGGUUCAUAUGUUACAUCUGAAUGGAGUCCAAGGUAUUUAAUCCUCUCUGUGGGCCCACGACAAAGAGAGAUGCUUUUCACGGCCUGGAACCAGUCAGCGAUAGCUUCGCAUCCAGGAACAGCCUGAAAGUUUGGGGGACCCAGCUGAAGGAUUCGACAGAAUCGAUGAGGAACAGGAAAAAAGAAGAGAGUGAAAAUCUCAGAAGCCACUAAGAUUUCACACAAAUUGCAGAGCUGCCCAGUUUUCGCAUAUAGCUGCCAGUCCCAAGGUCUGCCCUAAAAUCCCAGUUCACUGAGGCUCGGGAAGUCUCCAGUCCUUCUGGUUUCACAAGAAAGCUUGAACACGAACCCCCUAAAAACCACAGGAAUGAGUGAGGAGAAGGCAAAACUGAUUUUUCUUUUAAAAAUGGGCCUUUUUACUGUAACAGCAGGAUUUUCCCGAGGCUUGACUCAUCUUCUUGUAAGGGCUAGGGGCUGAAGCAUGGCUUCCCAAGGGACGGUGGCAAGGCUGGGGACGAGGUAUCCAGCGUGGGCAGCAGGCGGCCGGUGUGGGAGGGGAAAACUUGUUUCCAUUUCCUUGAGGCAGAGCUCAGCUUUCACAUGUAUCGAAAACACUCAAUUAGGCACAUGCUUCUUUCCAAAGGCCAAGCCCUAGCUUCGGUGGAUGCGUGCUCACUGUGUGGGUUUUUUUCCCUCUUUGCCUGCUGGCCUAAAAGCUGAUGAUUUUUGGAAAUGGAAGUUAUUUGUUUAACUGAGGAGGCAGCCCUGCAGCUAAUUCCUACUUGCCUGGACCCUUUACCUAAAUUCUCCCUUUUGCCAUGCCUCUCUAGCUCGUUAGCUCUGGGCUGGGAUUUACUCUGUCACCUAGCUCUGGAUUUUAUUGUUUUCAUUUCUGUCCUCCUUGGCGCUGGAGGGACCCACGCCAUGACUAAACUUUUCUGGCUUCAGUGCCAGCACAAUCAUGUGAGAGGUUCAGAGGCUAAGGAAAAAUGCUGAAGAAUCAUAUCUGAAAAAGGAGAUCUCCAGCUUUUUGCACAUCAGGCUGCAGAGGAGAGCGGGCAAAUUUAGGUGAAAUUCACACAAAGGCAAGCCAAAAAAAUGUCCAGCACCUUCCAGUGCAGUUCAGAAGUAGCAGUGCAACAUUCAGGGCCAAACUGCUAAAACAAAAAAGAGAUUUGCACUGCGAUGUCUGCAAAAUCUGGAUUGAAUAUUUAAUCUAUAGGGAACCCCUUAGACUGAUGCAUCUCUGAGCACUCAAAAGCUCAUUUCCAUGUUUACCUGCCCAUCAGUGCAGGGGAGAAUACCUGCACCGACGCUGCGCUGCACUGCACUGCAAAGAACGCUGCACCAGACACUGCAGAAUUGCUGCUCAUUAGUAGCUUUUGAGAGUGCCAGAUAGGGCAUCUUGCUAAGGAGAAAAAUGAAACUACCCCCCAUGACCAGCUCACAGGCUGCCAGACCUGCAGAAUGGGGUGGCUCCUUUCCGAUGGCAGUGACACCUGCCCUUUGCAAGCCUUUCUGUUGUGCUGCUGCAGAACCCUCUGCUCUAACCCACCAGCCUCCUGGGGCACACGGGCAAGCAGCUUCAGCUGAAAGCAAAGCUCUAAACUCAGCUUCUGCCGAAAGGUCUGGGCCCUUCGUGUGGCAGCACCCCAUGAAAUACAGAUGUAAGGCUUCCUUUUUGAGGCAGCAAUGGGCAGGCUCUGCAGGGCGGCCUGGGCUCAGCAAAAUGCCUGUUGUUUCUAAGUUGCCUAGAUGGGCUGCGUGUUAGCUCUGAACUUCCUGCUGAGCUCUGCAAGCUGUAUCCAAAAGUCUCUGUCUAGUCCAGAAACUUCCAGCUGCUUUCUAAGACAUCGCAAGCUUGGGAGGCCUAAGCAGCUUCCUCAGAACUAAGAUAAGAUUGCUAUUGAUAGUGCAAUAAUGGAAAUAAAAAAAAC